GUCAGUAUGUCUGUGUGUGUCUGUGUAUGUCAGUAUGUCUGAUAGUGUAUGUGUGUAUGUCAGUAUGUUUGACAGUGUCUGUAUCUGUGUGUGUGUCAGAAGGUCUGUGUGAGUGUAUGUCAGUAUGUAUCUGUGUGUCAGUAUGUCUCUGUGUGUGUCAGUAUGUCUGGUGUGUGUGUGUGUGUGUGUCAGUAUGUCUGACAGUGUGUCUGUGUAUGUCUGAUAGUGUAUGUCAGUAUGUUUGACAGUGUCUGUAUCUGUGUGUGUGUCAGAAGGUCUGUGUGAGUGUAUGUCAGUAUGUAUCUGUGUGUCAGUAUGUCUCUGUGUGUGUCAGUAUGUCUGGUGUGUGUGUGUGUCAGUAUGUCUGACAGUGUGUCUGUGUAUGUCUGAUAGUGUAUGUCAGUAUGUUUGACAGUGUCUGUAUCUGUGUGUGUGUCAGAAGGUCUGUGUGAGUGUAUGUCAGUAUGUCUGACAGUGUAUGUCUCUGUGUGUGUCAGUAUGUCUGGUGUGUGUGUGUGUGUCAGUAUGUCUGGCAGUGUGUCUGUGUAUGUCAGUAUGUCUGAUAGUGUAUGUCAGUAUGUUUGACAGUGUCUGUAUCUGUGUGUGUGUCAGGUCUGUG